CUGUGGUUCACUAAACAGGGAAGUGGACUGUGUGUAAAGUGAAAUGAAAAGAGUACUAUGUGAUGAGUCAAACUGCUCCUGGGGGAUAAACUAGUUAUGCCAUAAAUAGUUUACGGAGUGGACUCCAUAGACCAAACUGAGAGGCUCCUUAUUGGUUAUACUCUUCCUGGUGAAUGCGUUGUCGACCUGUAACCAGGGCCAG